UACGUAGGGCGCAAGCGUUGUCCGGAAUUAUUGGGCGUAAAGAGCUCGUAGGCGGCCAGUUGCGUCUGCUGUGAAAUCCCGGGGCUCAACCCCGGGCGUGCAGUGGAUACGGGCUGGCUAGAGGCAGGCAGGGGAGAACGGAAUUCCCGGUGUAGCGGUGAAAUGCGCAGAUAUCAGGAGGAACACCGAUGGCGAAGGCAGGUCUCUGGGCAUUAACUGACGCUGAGGAGCGAAAGCAUGGGGAGCGAACAGG
rnacentral:rRNA from 1 species